rnacentral:rRNA from 1 species
UACGUAGGGUGCAAGCGUUGUCCGGAAUUAUUGGGCGUAAAGAGCUCGUAGGCGGCUUGUCGCGUCUGCUGUGAAAUCCCGAGGCUCAACCUCGGGCCUGCAGUGGGUACGGGCAAGCUAGAGUGCGGUAGGGGAGAUUGGAAUUCCUGGUGUAGCGGUGGAAUGCGCAGAUAUCAGGAGGAACACCGAUGGCGAAGGCAGAUCUCUGGGCCGUAACUGACGCUGAGGAGCGAAAGCAUGGGGAGCGAACAGG